AUUGAACGCUGGCGGCAUGCCUUACACAUGCAAGUCGAACGGUAACAGGUCUUCGGAUGCUGACGAGUGGCGAACGGGUGAGUAAUACAUCGGAACGUGCCCGAUCGUGGGGGAUAACGAGGCGAAAGCUUUGCUAAUACCGCAUACGAUCUACGGAUGAAAGCGGGGGAUCUUCGGACCUCGCGCGGACGGAGCGGCCGAUGGCAGAUUAAGUAGUUGGUGGGAUAAAAGCUUACCAAGCCGACGAUCUGUAGCUGGUCUGAGAGGAUGAUCAGCCACACUGGGACUGAGACACGGCCCAGACUCCUACGGGAGGCAGCAGUGGGGAAUUUUGGACAAUGGGCGAAAGCCUGAUCCAGCCAUGCCGCGUGCAGGAUGAAGGCCUUCGGGUUGUAAACUGCUUUUGUACGGAACGAAAAGCCUCUUUCUAAUAAAGAGGGGUCAUGACGGUACCGUAAGAAUAAGCACCGGCUAACUACGUG
rnacentral:rRNA from 1 species